CAUUACUUUUUAUUUAUUUAGGAAAAGCUGUUACUAGAACCAAUGUUUGAAGUCCCUAAUUCUGAUAUCGUAUGUGUGGAGGUUGACAAAGAAGUAGUAGAAGGAAAAAAGGAACCAGGAUACAUCCGGGCUCCAACAAAAGAAUCCUCUGAAGAGGAGUAUGACUCUGGAGUUGAAGAAGAAGGAUGGCCCCGCCAAGCAGAUGCUGCAAACAGCUAAACUGUCAUAUUGCUGUCCUGUAUAUACAGCUUUUCCUUCUUUUGUUUAGGGUCAUAACUGUCUCUACAGUCUGAUAUUAAAGGCAUUGGAUCUAUCUUGGAUAUCAUACAUGGUCAGAGAAGCCUUUAGGAUAAGAAUCAGAUCAUGUAUAUUAUUGUAACAUCACAUUGAUUUUACAGAGGACGUUAUGUGGACUUUAAUGACAGUGUUUAGAGAUAAAAUGUACAUUAUUUUGGUUCAGUUUUUAAAAAAAACUAUGCUUUAACAAAAUUCUUAGGAAUUCUUUUAAGCAAUGCAGGUAUUGCAAUAACUGUAGAUGUUACAAUAAUGUUACUCUACAAAUGGGAAAAUAAAUUCUUAAAAAUUGAAUAUUGAGAUACCAUUCUUAUAGUGUUACUUUUUUACCCACAUGUGUUUCUGAAAAUAUUGGAAUUAUAUUCAUCUUGAAAAUUGGACCAGGUAGGCCAGGCACGCUGGCUCACGCCUGUAAUCCCAGCACUUUGGGAGGCCAAGGCAGGUGGAUCACGAGGUCAGGAGUUCAAGACCAGCUGGCCAAGAUGGUGAAACCCCAUCUCUACUAAAAAUACAGAAAAUUAGCUGGGCGCAGUGGCAGGCGCCUGUAAUCCCAGCUACUCAGGAGGCUGAGGCAGGGGAAUCGCUUGAACUCGGAGGGCAGAGGUUACAGUGAGCUGAGAUCGCGCCACUUCUCUCCAGCCUGGGCAACAGAGUGAGACUCCAUCUCAGGGGAAAAAAAAAAAUUGGACCAGGUAGUUAAAAAUUUCAUUGAAAAAUACCCUGAAGAACUAUAUUUUUAUAAUUGGUUUAGCUGUAUUCCUAGUCUUAUCUGCUAACGCAUGACAGCAUGACACUAACUUCCCAAUUGGUUCUGUAAAAAAGGCCAUUUUCUUACCAAGUUGUCGGAUUUACCAUCUUUUUUUUAAAGCAGAGUCUCGCUCUGUCCCAAGCUGGAGCGCAGUGGUGCAAGCUUGGCUCACUGCAACCUCCACCCCCCAGGUUCAAGCAAUUUUCCUGCCUCAGCCUUCCGAGUAGCUGGGAUUACAGGUGCACACCACCAUACCCGGCUAAUUUUUGUAUUUUUAGUAGAGACAGGGUUUCACCAUGUUGGCCAGGCUAGUCUCUAACCCCUGACCUUGUGAUCUGCUGGCCUCAGCCUCCCAAAGUGCUGAGAUUACAGGCAUGAGCCACCGCACCCAGCCUUAAUUACCAUCUUUAAUCCAUUUUAGUACUGUGGAUGAGUAAAUGGAAUUGAAGUCUGGCUUAAAUCUUCAGAAAGUUAUAUAGCUAUUUUAUUUUAUUUUAUUUCAUUUUAUUUUAUUGAGACAGAAUCUCGCUGUCACCUAGGCUGGAGUGCAGUGGCACGAUCUUGGCUCACUGCAACCUCUGCCUCCCGGGUUCAAGCGAUUCUCAUGCCUCAGCUUCCUGAGUAGCUGGGACUACAGGUGUGCACCACCACACCUGGCUAAUUUUUUGUAUUUUUAGUAGAGACGGGGUUUCGCCAUGUUGCCCAGGCUGGUCUCUCCUGAGCUCAGGCAAUCUGACCACCUUGGCCUCUGACAGUGCUAGGAUUACAGGCAUGAGCCACCGCAUCCAGCCAGAAAGAUACAUAUCUAAUUCUAUAAAUAGCAUGCAGUGUCAGUCAUAGUAACAGCCAUGUGCUCACCUAAAUAAAAUUUCCUGAUAUUGUGUACUUAACCUGAAGUACUGAGCUGUUUUUUUGUUUUGUUUUUUGGUGCUGAACAUUUUGGUCUAAUUCUUUGGCUUCUAGAACAUUAAAAAAAAUCUAUGUUUUGCUAUCAGCCAAAGUAAAUGUGUUCACACUAACAUAUAAGUUACUAACCUUCAUUAUAUAGCAAAGGUAAAAAGUGGUGGGAUAUUUGGGGUCUUAAUGAAAAUUGUAUCAUUUAACUCCAUAAAUAUUAAAAUAUUUGGGUAUCUUUUAAGCUUUUUUUUCUUUCCUUCUAUAGUGGUGGUACAAGUUCUAUAUUGAUUCAGUUUAAUCUCAUUCAAAAUUGUUUAAAUCAGAGUACAUGUAAAUAUUUGUCCUUAUUUUUUGGUUUAUAGACUGUUGAGCUUUCCUUUUACACAGUUUUUUUUUGGGGGGGGGGAUACUGAAGCUAUCAGGAAAUUCUAAAUCUUGGUGAAGAUUUGGGCUUUCUAUGAUAUAAUUAAUAAAAGGAAUGUGUGGUAUUUAUGGCUGGGUAGGACCAGAAAUGCACUUUGUAUUACAGUGUUAAGGCUGGUUGCUAUAGUAUGGAACAGAAACACCUCUCCUUGGUCUCCCUAGUAAUGGUUCGAGUUCUCCCCAGGAAGUCUUACAUAUUAUAACUUUGUUCAUUAUCUUUCCCUUAUAGCAUCAUUUUCCUUUUUGUAGAGUGGAAAUCAGAGUAGCUGCUAGACAUAUUAAGGGUAAUCCUCCAGAAAUGGACUGGGAGGCAUUUUGGUCACAACUACUUACAUUUGACUUUGGAAGUUGUUAACAAAGCAUAAUCGAUGUUUUUAAAUCAAACGCAAUUUGUAUCUUGGAACUUACAUUUUGACAUUUGAAUAAAACAAAAAGACUAAAUGAAAA